GCAGAUAUAGUUUAAUGGUAGAAUCUCUGUUUUCCAAACAGAAUGCGAGGGUUCAAUUCCCUCUAUCUGCUCCA
rnacentral:tRNA from 1 species